rnacentral:rRNA from 1 species
GACGAACGCUGGCGGCGUGCCUAACACAUGCAAGUCGAACGGAGUUGUUCCUUCGGGGACAACUUAGUGGCGAACGGGUGAGUAACGCGUGAGAAACCUGCCUUUCAGUGGGGGACAACAGUUGGAAACGACUGCUAAUACCGCAUAAUGUUAUUUGGGGGCAUCCCUGAAUAACCAAAGAUUUAUUGCUGAAAGAUGGUCUCGCGUCUGAUUAGCUAGUUGGUGAGGUAACGGCUCACCAAGGCGACGAUCAGUAGCCGGUCUGAGAGGAUGAACGGCCACAUUGGGACUGAGAUACGGCCCAGACUCCUACGGGAGGCAGCAGUGGGGGAUAUUGCGCAAUGGGGGAAACCCUGACGCAGCAACGCCGCGUGAAGGAAGAAGGUCUUCGGAUUGUAAACUUUUGUCUUCCGGGACGAAUAAUGACGGUACCGGAGGAGGAAGCCACGGCUAACUACGUG